GACGAACGCUGGCGGCGUGCUUAACACAUGCAAGUCGUGCGGUAAGGUCCUCUCGGGGGUACACGAGCGGCGAACGGGGGAGUAACACGGGAGAAACCUGCCCUUCACUUUGGGACAACUGCCGGAAACGGUGGCUAAUACGGGCUAUGACUUCCUCCAGCAUGUGGGGUGGUGGAAAGGCUGCGGGUGGUGGGGGAUUGGCUCGCGGUUCAUCAGUCUGAUGGUGAGGUGAUGGCCUACCAGGGCUACGACGGGUAGCCGGCCUGAGAGGGUGACCGGCCACACUGGCACUCACCCACGGCCCACACUCCUACGGGAGGCAGCAGUGUGGAAGAUUGGACGAUGCGCCAAAGCCUGAUGCAGCAUCGCCGCCUUAUGGAUUACGGCCUUCUUUUUUUAGACCUCUUCCGCCUUCGACGAAGAGUGAGUGACGGUACCAUGUAAAGAAGCACCGGCCAACUACGUG
rnacentral:rRNA from 1 species